AGAGUUUGAUCCUGGCUCAGAUUGAACGCUGGCGGCAUGCCUUACACAUGCAAGUCGAACGAAGCCUUCGGGCUUAGUGGCGCACGGGUGCGUAACGCGUGGGAAUCUGCCCUUAGGUACGGAAUAACUCAGGGAAACUUGUGCUAAUACCGUAUGAUGUCGAGAGACCAAAGAUUUAUCGCCUAGGGAUGAGCCCGCGUAGGAUUAGCUAGUUGGUGGGGUAAAGGCCUACCAAGGCGACGAUCCUUAGCUGGUCUGAGAGGAUGAUCAGCCACACUGGGACUGAGACACGGCCCAGACUCCUACGGGAGGCAGCAGUGGGGAAUAUUGGACAAUGGGCGAAAGCCUGAUCCAGCAAUGCCGCGUGAGUGAAGAAGGCCUUCGGGUUGUAAAGCUCUUUACCCGGGAAGAUAAUGACUGUACCGGGAGAAUAAGCCCCGGCUAACUCCGUG
rnacentral:rRNA from 1 species